rnacentral:lncRNA from 1 species
GGCGGGGACGAGGAUGGCUCGGCAUGGAAGUCAGAGGAGGAUGGUGGGGAGGAGGAUAGCUCGGCGAUGGAGUUAGAGGAAGAGGAUGGUGGGGAGGAGGACGCUUGGGAGGAGUUCAUACCUGAGAUGACGAGAAGGGAGAUCGAUCGAGAGUCGGGACGAAAGCUUGUGAGGGAGAUGGAGAUUUUUGGUAUUGAGAAUCGGAUGGGGA